GCUUUUUUUUCUAAAAAAUGUAAAAAAAAAAAAAAAAAAAAAAAAAAAAAAUCAAUAGUAUAGCAUGUUAGGUAUGUUAGGAAUGUUAGCCAAGUAUAGUGCGUGAUGAAAAGAUUUCGUGAUAAGUCAGGAUGUUAGCAGUGGACUUUUCACCAUCAUUUGAAAAGUAAAUGGUUACGUCACAAUAUAUAGUUUCAGUGCCUUGCUUUUGGCACACUUCAGCACAGUGGAAGCUUGAGAGUAAAACCAGGUCUUCUGGUUCAGGGCCAGUCUCCCAAAUCACUGUACCAACCUGCUGUAUGGAGUAUAAUCAUUUGCAUUGAACACAAUUGUAUGAAUCAUAAAUCUUUAAUAAAUAAAUAAAAUUAAAUGUUAUCAGAUCUCAACCCUGUUUAAGCUGCAUUGAAAAGGUGAACUAUCUGCUGCUCUUAAAGCUUCUGAGCUCAAUAUACAAAGUGAAUCCUUUGGUUUAUUUCCAUUGCUUAUUUCAUUUUUCAUUUCAUUUCAAAAUUUAUUUCAAGCAUGUAGAAUACAAAAAAA